UACGUAGGGUGCGAGCGUUAAUCGGAAUUACUGGGCGUAAAGCGUGCGCAGGCGGUUCGUUAAGUCAGAUGUGAAAGCCCCGGGCUCAACCUGGGAACUGCAUUUGUGACUGCAUCGCUGGAGUGCGGCAGAGGGGGAUGGAAUUCCUGGUGUAGCAGUGAAAUGCGUAGAUAUCAGGAGGAACACCGAUGGCGAAGGCGGGUCUCUGGGCCGAUACUGACGCUGAGGAGCGAAAGCGUGGGGAGCGAACAGG
rnacentral:rRNA from 1 species